rnacentral:rRNA from 1 species
UACGUAGGGGGCGAGCGUUGUCCGGAAUCAUUGGGCGUAAAGCGCGUGUAGGCGGCUCGAUAAGUCCGGUGUGAAACCUUGGGGCUCAACCCCAAGCCUGCACUGGAUACUGCCGAGCUAGAGUCCGGGAGGGGAGAGCGGAAUUCCUAGUGUAGCGGUGAAAUGCGCAGAUAUUAGGAAGAACACCGGUGGCGAAGGCGGCUCUCUGGAACGGUACUGACGCUGAGACGCGAAAGCAUGGGGAGCGAACGGG